UUGAGGACUUUGUAAAGGGUUUGCAGCCUGGAAACGCAAUGCUUCCUGCAAGCACGACAGGCGGAGCAACAGGUUAGACCACCGGAUAGUAGCAUCGCCCUACAAAAAAGUGAUCACCUGUAUCUCAUGUAAUCGCCGUGGCGAAGCCCAUUUUGAGCUUGCGCCGUCUUAAUGGCCGAGAGAAGCGCAAGCGGCAGCGGAGAUUGCUGCGCGGGAACAGGCGCUGCCUCUGUAGUAGUCUGAGUCAGGUCAAUCUCCAUUAUCUCUGGCUGAUCGCCAGCCAUGGUCGGAUGUCACUUGUGCGCACUCCGAUCACCAAUAGGUUAGGCCCCGCAAGAUCAAGAUAUCAAGCAACACGUGCUUGCUUUUAUCUGUAAAUGGCUCUUAAAUUUGGCAAAGCCCCUCAAUAACGCAACGCUUGACGACUUGUCGAAGACAAUUUACAAGGGUAAAUGUUCUCGGCUAUGCUAGUUAAUUAUCUACAUCCAGGCAACUCAUCUCCAGCAUGGUAGUUGCAGAUUGUUUCGUGUUUGGGAAUGGCCCAGGGGUCCGACCCGUACAUACUGUCGCAAAUUUCUGUUUGUCGAGUCCGGUCCAUCACAUUAUUACCAACCUACAAUGCAUAGUGCAAUUCACGGGACGGGUGCAGCUGAGCUUUGCUUUGCAACGCUACGGUACAACCGUCAAGGACGUGUACGGCACAGCCCCCCUACCUAGCACACAUAGGAGAUGCGCAUAUUACUGGCAAUACCUAACACACGCCCUUCGUGGGCGUCAGGGCCUGGGAAUGCAUGGUACGUGCUUGGCAUCCCUAACUGCGCUGCUAAGCUGGGGGCCUCCAACUGCCUCAGGGACGCGGUCCCUAGUACCCCUAACUAUCCAUAACCCGCACUCUGUACUAAUCGUCCUUUUAUGACCCGGAUCCCGUCGUGGUCCUCAGGACAGCACACACACCUGCAUGCAUUUGCCUCUGCCGGUUCGUUGUAGACCAACACCACCAGCAAAACCAACAGAGCAAAACCAACAUUUCGCGCACAGCAAUCCUCAGAUCGUCCUCUCGCCCCGCGCAAGGCAAGUGCGCAAAGCACGGACGUCUUAAAGGUACCUACGCCUCGUCCUCCUCCUCCUCGUCCUCCUCCUCCGUCCCCUCCCCACCUCCUUCCUCCUCAUCAGCAUCCACCUCGCCAUCAACUGCCAUGCCAGCCUGGCCCUGACCCUGGGCCAUCUGAGCAGAUGCCAUCCCACCCUCUGCUCCCGUCCCCUUCGCUCCUGCAGCCGUGCUGCUGCCGGCCCCCCCACCCGCUGCUACUGCUCCGCCAUCCUCUGCACCUCCAUUAGCACUGCCCACUGCCGCUGCCGCAGGCCCCUGGCCCUCUUGGACCUUGGACGCCGCGAGAUCUGCCUGCAGCCUGGCCAUCUCCUUUCGCUGCCGGGCCUCCUCCCGCGCCGCCUUGUCUUGCUUGCGCCGCUCCAAGUCGGGCACGUAGAACUCCCGAUACUCCUUGGCGCACUCCGCCACUUGCUGAGGAGGGUCAGGUAGGUGGGGGAAAGUAGGGAGGAAGUGAUACUUCACUUGGGAGAACCUCUUGGUAAAUUAAGAGGUAGUGAUUGAGUAAGGAGGAAGUGCGGGGGAUGGAGGAGCAGUUGCACGGGUUGCGGGGUCCGGCACAAUCCUUGGCACACUCGCCACCCGCCCACCCCACCCCACCCCACCCCACCCCACCCCACCCCACCUGCAGCAUGUCCUCCAUGCCCUCCCCCGUCACCGCCGACACCCCCACACUGCGAAGGUUGGAGUAGAAGGAGUCCAGCACCAGUGCCAGAGAGCGGGACAACGUGGCUGCAUAGCUGGAGUCCGCCUCCAGGGCCGCUGAGUAGCUGUCG
rnacentral:lncRNA from 1 species